rnacentral:rRNA from 1 species
AACGAACGCUGGCGGCAUGCCUAACACAUGCAAGUCGAACGAUACCUUCGGGUCUAGUGGCGCACGGGUGCGUAACGCGGGGGAACCUGCCCUUAGGUUCGGAAUAACUCCCCGAAAGGGGUGCUAAUACCGGAUAAUGUCUUCGGACCAAAGAUUUAUCGCCUUUGGAUGGGGCCGCGUUGGAUUAGCUAGUUGGUAGGGUAAGAGCCUACCAAGGCGACGAUCCAUAGCUGGUCUGAGAGGAUGAUCAGCCACACUGGGACUGGGACACGGCCCAGACUCCUACGGGAGGCAGCAGUGGGGGAUAUUGGAAAGUGGGGGGAAGCAUGAUCCAGCACUGCCGGGUGAGUGAUGAAGGCCUUAGGGUUGUAAAGAUCUUUUACCCGGGAUGAUAAUGACAGUACCGGGAGAAUAAGCUCCGGCUAACUCCGUG